rnacentral:rRNA from 1 species
GGAAAUCUCACCAGGCCCGGACACUGGAAGGAUUGACAGAUUGAUAGCUCUUUCUUGAUUCGGUGGGUGGUGGUGCAUGGCCGUUCUUAGUUGGUAGAGUGAUUUGUCUGGUUAAUUCCGAUAACGAACGAGACCCCAACCUGCUAACUAGCCCUCGGGUCCUGCUUCUGUUGGGCCCGACGGAAUGAUUCGCUUCUUAGAGGGACUCGCGGCGCCUAGCCGCACGAAGGGGGGCGAUAA